rnacentral:rRNA from 1 species
UACGAAGGGGGCUAGCGUUGUUCGGAUUUACUGGGCGUAAAGCGCACGUAGGCGGAUCGUUAAGUCAGGGGUGAAAUCCUGGAGCUCAACUCCAGAACUGCCUUUGAUACUGAAGAUCUUGAGUUCGGGAGAGGUGAGUGGAACUGCGAGUGUAGAGGUGAAAUUCGUAGAUAUUCGCAAGGACACCAGUGGCGAAGGCGGCUCACUGGCCCGAUACUGACGCUGAGGCACGAAAGCGUGGGGAGCAAACAGG